UCAAAGUUGUUCUCCAGACUUCAUACAUUCCUGUGCAUGCACAUAUGUGCACACACAUAACACACACAGUUAAAUAAAUAAUUUAAAAUGUUACUACAUGUAGAGAUGUACCUCUUUUGUCGGCUAUACAGGAAAUCACAUCAUGAUGCUAUAUGCAUUUAGGAUUCUAGAGCCUAUUAACAGUGACACUUGUCCUUCAAAGCUGGAAAUACUCUGCAUUUUUCUCAGUGACCCCUCCCCUCCCCUCCUCUGGUUCAACCUGGGCUAUACAGGUUAUGACUGAGAGGGUGCUGGGUAAGUAAGGUCUUUGUAGUGUCUAUCUUGUUUAGAGCCCAUUUCAAGCCACCAGCUUGAUGCCCAUACAGGCAGGAAGACAAACAAUGAUCACACAGCAGGACUGCACUGGAUCCCCUUGAGACAUACAAGGUGACCUUGCCCGGCAUCAAGUGGAACUUCAGACCUGUGAGAUGGCUCGCAAAUGUGGUCAAGGGGGUGUCCCGUGGAGAAGGCUGUUACAAACUCAAGUCCAAUGAUGGUUUUAAUUGUCAACAACAUAAUCUACAUACUUGGAAAGGAAUUUCAAUGAGGGAUUGUCUAAGUUAGGCUGGACUUCAGGCAUUCCUUUGAGGGUUAAUUGGGUUAACUAAAGUGUGAAGAUACACCCUGAAAAUGGACAAUGUUAUUUUAUGCCUGGACCUGGACUGGAUGAAGCGAAUGAGCUGGCUCUGGCUUGAACGCAUGCACUGCUCUCUGCUCCUGAAAUGUGACUGAUUCUCUCAGGUGCCUGCUGCUGUAACUUCUCUACAGUGGUAACCCGGAACGACGAGCUAAAUAAAUCCAAUAUUGCUUUUGUCUGGGUAUUUUAUCAUAGUAACAGUAAACAAAACUAAGAGGAGGCCCAAUCCAGUUAUACAGAGAGGAUCCCAGGGCCAGCAUUUUAACAAGCUCCCAAGUAACUCUGAUGGAUGCCAGUUAGAGGUUUUGGCCUGCAGACAACAGGUUCUACACCCAGAGUCCAUAUAAGAACGACAAGGUCACUUUCCAAGAAUCUGGGCCUCACCCCAGAAAUUGUGAUUAUCAAUGGCAUUCGUAGGAGUUCCUGUAUGCCACUAAUAUUCAGAGUUGAAAAUAGACUAUAGUUAGAAUCACUUUAAAGAAACUUGACUACAAGACCCUCAGAGCCUACAGCCUGAUGCAUCAUGGUGGCUCCUGUGAGCCUCCAAUUAAACUGAUCUACAACUGUCAGGUAAGCACAGGGUGCUGUUAGUGGAUGAAGGCAAGAUUUGGUUUUGGGGAAGGAUUCCCAGCCCUUGGCUUUCCUUAAAUCUUCCUCUGCUAUACCUGAAGAAUCCACCUGUGUACCUGUGUGCCUCUGUCGCCGGUUCUAACAAGUCCUGCCCAUCUCUCACUGCCUCUUUACUGCUAGUCUCUGCCCUUGCUCUAGAAAAGGCCAGAACUUUUUUUCCCAAGCAUCACAGGGACACCCAGAGACCUGAGGGGACAGGACUGACCUAGAGAUUUCUUCAAAACAGACAGCCAAGGGACUGUCUAGAGUUGGGGCUGAAAGUAAACACAGAGGUGUGGCCUUACGGUGAAAUCUUCUGGGGAGCUUGGACCAUCCCCAUUCCUGGCCCCACCUACAGAGUUGUCAAUCUCUUUUAGGUGAGCAAGCAUAUUGGGAAAAUGUUAGCAAAGGAAAUGGAGGCUCAAGACAAAUACAGGCGACACCAUAUCUGUUGUGUUGUGCAGAAGGCUCUAUAGGCAUGAACCACUCAAUGAGAAUUAAAUUCUCACAGCAUGGUGUUGCUGUGAAGCCCAAGACUGUGUUAUUUACUGAAAGACAAAAAUAAAACUGUUUCUAGUUG
rnacentral:lncRNA from 1 species